UACAGAGGUCUCAAGCGUUGUUCGGAUUCAUUGGGCGUAAAGGGUGCGUAGGCGGCGCGGUAAGUCGGGUGUGAAAUCUCGGAGCUUAACUCUGAAACUGCACUCGAUACUGCUUUGCUCGAGGACUGGAGAGGAGAUUGGAAUUCACGGUGUAGCAGUGAAAUGCGUAGAUAUCGUGAGGAAGACCAGUGGCGAAGGCGGAUCUCUGGACAGUUCCUGACGCUGAGGCGCGAAGGCCAGGGGAGCAAACGGG
rnacentral:rRNA from 1 species